GCCUCCAUAGCUCAACUGGUAGAGCAGGACCCUCUUAAGGUCAAGGUUUCAGGUUCGAGCCCUGAUGGAGGCA
rnacentral:tRNA from 3 species